rnacentral:rRNA from 1 species
UACAGAGGGGGCAAGCGUUAUUCGGAAUUCUUGGGCGUAAAGGGCGCGUAGGCGGUCUUGCAAGUCCUGUGUGAAAUCCCUCGGCUCAACUGAGGAACUGCACAGGAAACUGCUUGGCUUGAGUUCGGGAGAGGGAAGCGGAAUUCCGGGUGUAGCGGUGAAAUGCGUAGAUAUCGGGAGGAACACCAGUGGCGAAGGCGACUUCCUGGCCUGUUCUUGACGCUGAGGCGCGAAAGCUAGGGUAGCAAACGGG